rnacentral:lncRNA from 1 species
CUACCCCCUCCAGCCACCCCCCGCCCUGCACACACAACAUGGCAGCAGGGGGAAGGAGGGAGGCGAGCUAGAGAGUGAGAGAGUGAGAGGGAGAAAUAGAGAGAGAGGCUGCCGCGGCUGACAGGGAAUACUGGUGCCAUUUUCACAUCGCGGGAAGGAUUCAUUCCUGCUCCGCUCGGCUCCGCUGUGGAAGAAGGGAACGAGGGAAGAAGGGAACGAGGGAAGGAGGAAAAAGAGGAGAAGAAAGGAGGCUGACAACUAUAAAACAGAGUGCCAUCUUCAUUACUGAUGGAAUAGACGGCCAUGUCUGUGAAUGCCGAUGAGUCAUCCUGAGCCCCACAGAUCGCCAGUCGCACCUCUCACAGGGAGAUCACACUGCGACUGGCGAACCCAGCAGGGCUCCAAAAUGGACUGCUUAUGAAACCAGACAGGACCAUUUCUUAGCUGUU